rnacentral:rRNA from 1 species
UAUGUGAUCGUCUCUCGCAUAUCAAUAAGCGGAGGAAAAGAAACUAACAAGGAUUCCCCUAGUAACGGCGAGUGAAGCGGGAAGAGCUCAAAUUUGAAAUCUUAAAGGGUUUCCCUUUACGAAUUGUAGUUUAAAGAAGUGCUUUCUGUUGAGGUUUUGGUAAAAGUUCUUUGGAAUAGGACAUCAUAGAGGGUGAGAAUCCCGUAUUUGACCUUUACUUUCAACUUUGUGAUACACUUUCAAAGAGUCGGAUUGUUUGGGAAUGCAGUCCAAAAUGGGUGGUAAAUUUCAUCUAAAGCUAAAUAUUGGCGAGAGACCGAUAGCGAACAAGUACCGUGAGGGAAAGAUGAAAAGAACUUUGAAAAGAGAGUUAGACAGUACGUGAAAUUGUCAAAAGGGAAGCGUUUGACACCAGUGUUGUUUUUCUGAAAAUCAAUUAAAGAACUGUUUAUGCUAAGCUGUUUAGACUUUAUCAGCUAUCUGUUUAGUUUUGAGCUUUUCAUUAAUGCACUUUUCAGUUAACAAGUCAACAUCAAUUUCUUUUGCUGUAAAAAAGCUUGAGGAAGGUGGCUUGAGAUUCGUCUUAAGUGUUUAUAGCCUCUUGCCUAUGCAGUCGGAGAGAUUGAGGUCUGCAGCGUAGAUCCUUCGGGGCUAAAUGCAUUUGUGCUAAGUUAUAGCAUUUUAUAGACAACUUGUUGACUAUGAUUUGUCUUGUAGCUUACUCGCUUAUGUUAUUUUACCUACGCUUAGGAUGUUGAAGACUCUACAGAGAUA